UCCAGAGAAAUAGAGAAUGCAGCCAACCAUGCCUGGACUAUGGAAAGUACUUUAUGGAGAUUAAAUUACAGUAUGAAAAUGUAAAAACCAAGCUCAACCAAAAAAAAAAAAAAUGGUAAAAACCAUGAAACUAAGAUGUAUAGCCUGACCUAAAAACUGAUUAACACUCUUCUGCAGCCAGCCCAUGGACACCAGCUGCAACCCUGACUUACUUUGAGGGUGAUACCCCAACAGGCUGGGGGGAGAUAACUCUUCUGGAGAAGGAAAGGCUGUAAACCAUGCAAGGCUUUCCUGCGAGUGACACACUUGCCCAGAAUAAAGAAUCAGGUGUAACAUGU